UAUCAGGUUUGUUGUCUGCAGACACAAUGG
rnacentral:piRNA from 1 species